rnacentral:rRNA from 1 species
GCCUAGCCGUAAACUUAGGUAGAAUAAAUACAACACUACUCGCCAGAGAACUACAAGCGAAAAACUAGAAACUCCAAGGACUUGGCGGUGCUCCACAUCAGCCUAGAGGAGCCUGUCCUAUAAUCGAUACUCCACGCUAAACCUUACCACUUCUUGCCAAAUCAGCCUAUAUACCGCCGUCGUCCAGCCUACCUUAUGAAAGCCCAACAGUAGGCAAAACAGUUAAUAACUAGUACGUCAGGUCAAGGUGUAGCACAUGGAGUGGAAGCGAUGGGCUACAUUUUCUGCCACAGAAGACACGGAUGUCACAAUGAAAUUUGUGCCUAAAGGUGGAUUUAGCAGUAAGGUGUAUAAGAAACAACACCUCAAGCCUGCUCUGGAGCGCGC